rnacentral:rRNA from 1 species
UACGUAGGUGGCAAGCGUUGUCCGGAAUUAUUGGGCGUAAAGCGCGCGCAGGCGGUCCUUUAAGUCUGAUGUGAAAGCCCACGGCUCAACCGUGGAGGGUCAUUGGAAACUGGGGGGACUUGAGUGCAGAAGAGGAAAGUGGAAUUCCACGUGUAGCGGUGAAAUGCGUAGAGAUGUGGAGGAACACCAGUGGCGAAGGCGACUUUCUGGUCUGUAACUGACGCUGAGGCGCGAAAAGCGUGGGGGAGCAAACAGG